rnacentral:lncRNA from 1 species
UCAAGUUCCCUCCUCUCCAAACUCAUCUGUUCUGGUCCCGGGAGCCUCAGUUUUCUCCUAGGGGGUCACGAGCUAAGCCGACAGCCCGCGAAGGCGCGUCGCCCACAUGGGUCUGAGUCCCGCCGCCGGGCCCAGUGCCUGCUCGCAGGUUCCCGAGAAGGGCGGGGGAGCGCGGACCGGAGGCAGAGUGAGGCGGCCUGGGAGCUCCGGGGCUUUGAGGAUGGAUCCUGGCUUCCUCAGAGGAUGCAUGGGUUCCAUUUUUCUGCCGCCCACACCCCAGCCCCA